UAAGCCCAAUUAGGUUGGUUCGUCGUCUGGCUGCCAUGGCGAGCUUUGUAUGUGGUUCGAAGUUGUAGCUGCACGCGACUCCUUAAGCUUCUCUUGCAGGUCUGAGCGAACCAACUUCAGGUUCCAUUUAUGUCCGAAAGUAGAUAAAGAUGGCAAACCAUGUGAGUCAGUCUUCUCAACCGUUAACCCCUGAGAGAGAGUUGGCAUUGUCUUUCAAAUUCAAGAGAGCAUGGGGCUUUUUUCUUGCUUUUGUGAGUCGCUACAUGCCCCAACCAUGGUGAGAGAUUAUAACAGUCCAAGCUUAUUGCUAACAGAUAUUGUCUUAUUU